UCCCCACCUGCAAGCCUACCACCCAGCCAGCCUUGUAGAGCAGCCUGCUGCACCCCUCAGUAGGGUCAGAGCUGUUUGUGGUGGGUGUGUACCUUUUAUUUGUACAUGUAUGCGCACAUAUGUACCUUGGCUGUCGUUUCUUAGGGGCUGUCCACAUAGCUGCCCUGCUCUUUGAGAAAGGGUUACCUAUUGGUUUGGAAAUCACCAAUUAGGCUAGACUCUCUGUCCAGUGACUCCACCUCUCCCGGCACUGGGAUUACAGAUCUGUAAUAGCACAUCCAGCUUUAUGAUUGCUUAUUAUUUCAGUGUGUGUGUGUGUGUGUGUGUGUGUGUGUGUGUGUGACAUACAUGGGUACUGCAUGACACGUCUUGAGGUCAUUAGGCUUGUGCAGGAAGUACUUUUACCCACCAAGCUGGCUCUGAGUCAAUGCUCAGCAGGGUUUUGGUUUGGUUUGGUUUGGUUUUUUUGGAAAUGUAUUAUAGGUAUUGAGCACAGGUCUUCAUGCCUUCAAAGCAAGCACUUUACAGACUGAGCCAUCUCCCCAGCUCCUGAUAUUUUAUUUUUUCAAAGUUCAAACUAGAGACUAAUGAUUCCUUUAAAGGAAACACAGGCAUUCCCAGUUACUGGCCAAGUCAGUGGCUGGUCUCCAUUCAGAAGACUCUGGCUCAUUGAGUUUCUAAGCUAAGUAUGUCGUGUCUUGAAAUCCAGAUUCCUAACUGUGCUCUCAGGUUUCCAAGGGGAAGUCCAGGCCUGUAUUCGUUUCUUUGUCCUUUUAUAUAGUUUUCUUUUCUUUUUGGUGUGUGUGUUUAUAAUGAGUGUUUAUACAUCCAUACUGCUACAUGGAUGAUGAGGUCAGAGGACAACUUUCAGGCAUCAGUUCUGUGGUUUUGCCUUGUUGCAGCAGGGUCUCUUCCGUUGUUCUGUCCCUGCAGUGCAGACUUGCUGAUCUAGGAGCUUUGCAGUGGCUCACCUGUCCUCUUCCUCUCUUCCUGCCAUAGCAGCGCCAGAAAUACAAAUGUGAACCGCCCCAUCCAGCUUUUUACAUCAUCUAACUAGUAAUCUUGCCCACCAAGCCAUUCCCACAGUGUCAAGUGGGUCCAUUUCUUAGGAUGGCUUGAGACCAGAUCAAAUCAAACCAAACGUAUUUGGUGGGGCUUGGCAGUGUAAUGCUGUGUUUGGCAACCAGAUCUAACCCUAGAACAUGUGCUAAUAUUUCACAGGCCUUUUGGGCAGCUUGGAGAAUGUUAUACUUGAUCCCUGAGUGCGCCCAACCAGCAGGGGAUUAGAGAGUGACCUUCCCUGGAUUCUGCUGUUGAAUGGUCCUGUGUUCUCUGCAGGAACACACUAACCAAGUUCAGAAGAAAAAAAAAAUCACUGCAAUCUUCUGAAUGAAUAAGGAGAAAAAUAGUGUAUUGUGUGUUAUUUUCUCUCUCUGUGGAUCCUCAGAUGCUGUCAUAUUCUGGUUAUCCGUCAGGGAUAUUUUGAGCAGGUGGUGUCCCAUAGUCUUGGGUCCCCUAUGAAUGGUGCAAUCUGUGGGGCGCCUGAGAUGGUUCCUAUUGACUGUCAGCUCCACAGGGUCUCGAAUCACCUAGGAGAUAAGCCCCCAGAUAUGCCUGGGAGGGGCUUUCUAGGCUGGGUUCAUUGUUGUGGGGAGAUCCAUCCUGAAUUUAGACAACACCAUUCUAUGGAGUGGGGUCCCAGACUGAAUAAAAAGGAGGACAUGAAUCAUGUCUUCCUGACAGUAGAUGCGGUGUGACCAAGCACCUCACAUUCACCCUGCCAUGGCUUUGCCACAGUGGUAGUAGGAGAGACCUCCUCCCUCCUGACAGUGUUUUUGUCUUGUAUGUUCAGUAGGCUUGGUCUUAUGGAGGCAGUUUCUUUUUCUUUUUCUUUCUUUCUUUUUUUUUUUUUUCUGGUUUUUCGAGACAGGGUUUCUCUGUAAAGCCCUGGAACUCACUUUGUAGACCAGGCGGGCCUCAAACUCAGAAAUCCGCCUGCCUCUGCCUCCCAAGUGCUGGGAUUAGAGGCAGUUUCUAAAUGGAGGUUCAGUCCUCUCAAGUGACUUCAGCCUGUGUAGUGUUGACCUAAAACUAUCCAGCACAACUCAUAACUAUAAAACUCACUAUGUUGCCAAGGCCUGGAACCCCUGCUCUUCUGUCUCCAUCUUCCAGAUGCUAGUCUUACAGAUGUAGGCCAUCACACCAGGCUCCUCCAUUAUCCUUUAAAGCUAUUGUAAAUCCUUCUUGGUCUAGGACUGUGAGUGAAGGUACACCAUAGCAUCCACUGCUAAAUUAAUAAAUUGAGAAACUGGGAGUGUAGCCCAGUUGGAAGGGUGCUUCCCUGGUGUUCAUAAAGCCUUGGGUUCCUUCUCCAGCACUGCAUCAACGGUACAUGAUGGGACACACCUGUAUUCCCAGCACUGAGACAGGAGAGACUACAAGAUGAGACGUUCAAGGUUAUCCAUAGCUGUAUAGCAAUUGUGAGGCCAGCCUGACAUGAACCCGUGUCUCAAAAGUGAAAAAACAAAACAAAUUAACAACAAAAACUCACACAAUUGAUGUUGGAACUUUAAGCUGAGAACCAAGGUUGAUUAACCAUCCAUGUACAGUCAUGGCUGUGUUACUAAAUUUAAGACAGUCUGUGCUUUUGGCUUUGGGGACUAUAAAACACAAGCACUCUUGUUUUUCCUUCCUCCAAUCAUUAAAGACAUGGAAAAAAAGCUUCCUAAAUCAUGAUUUGUACUUUUUCCCUUCUAUGGCAAGCUAAUAAAAUAUUUUUGCUCAUAUAUAAGGCUCUCAAUAACCCCAGUCCCUUGUAGGACCUGGAAACAAUUUACAGCACGAUAUCCUAGAAUAUCAG
rnacentral:lncRNA from 1 species